GGGAAGAUGGCCGAGUUGGUCUAAGGCGCCACGUUCAGGUCGUGGUCUACUCGUAGGCGUGGGUUCGAAUCCCACUCUUCUCA